CCCUUAGAUGUUCUGGGCCGCACGCGCGCUACACUGAUGCAUUCAACGAGCCUAUCCUUGACCGACAGGUCCGGGUAAUCUUUGAAUCUGCAUCGUGACGGGGAUAGAUUAUUGCAAUUAUUAAUCUUCAACGAGGAAUGCCUAGUAGGCGCAAGUCAUCAGCUUGCGUCGAUUACGUCCCUGCCCUUUGUACACACCGCCCGUCGCUCCUACCGAUUGGGUGUGCUGGUGAAAUGUUCGGAUCGGCCGUUUGUCGCGGUUUCCGCGUCAUGUGGCUUCGAAGUUCAUUAAACCCUCCCACCUAGAGGAAGGAGAAGUCGUAACA
rnacentral:rRNA from 1 species